GUUUUGCAUGCAUUCAAAUUCGCAAAAUGAUAUUCAUAUAAAAAAAUAUGAUUGCAUAUAAGCGUAUUUAAAUAUAAGUCAAAAGGCUAACAGGCAGCUGUAAUAUCAAAGCAAGUUUCUGAGCAUAAUUCUUUCCGAGCUAGCUGUGGUGAAAUCCACUACUAGAAUCUUACCAGGUUUGAGGUAAUUGAACCUUCUCUAUGAUAAACGUUCUCUAGUUGUAAUUUAAAAUAAAAAUAAAAUCUGUCAAUUGUGACGAAAAUCCGUCUAAAAAGAUAUAAACAUAUUGUAAUGGAUUGCUCGAUAAAUCGUCUACCUUGUAACACGUUCUUGAGUUCGAUCGCGAGAUUGUUAAAUAAAGGUCCCAAUUUAAUCGCUAUACAGUGAUCUUUAUUUCUAAUCCAAACAACUUAACGCUUUACUACAAUUGCCCUUUACACCGCAACACUCUAACUAGUACUUUGUCUGCUACAUCAUCGCAUACCCCUUAUAUAGUAGAUCUUUAACAAAAUUUCGCUACUAGAACAUUCUGGCAACUACGAAUUCGUUGUCUAGUUGAUUUUGGAAAUUUAUCGCGACUUCUUAUGAUUUUGUUAUUCCUUUCACUUCACUAAUCUGAAAUGAUUGCAGUUCCCAUAGUCUCUUUGUUAAUGAUAUUUCAAAAUUGAAAAAUUAUUAGCCUAAGGAAAUCCACCAUGAUGAUCACGCAAAAAUUAUGGGGAAAACUUAAGUUUAGCAUCCCACGAUUUCAGGGUUAAGAGGGGUAUGGUUGGAUAGAGGAGAUUCUCCAGAUCACGAGUACAGGCGGCACUCUCAACUUCUUCUUGAAUUUCGUCCCAAUUUCUGGUCCAGUUUUAUUUUUUCUCUAGGGAUAUAUCCCAUAUACAAAACUCCAAAAGAUCCAAAUCCAGAGAAGAAGAAGGGCAUUCAUCGGCUUAAAUGAAACAGGGCAUAUUGUCUUUGCACCACCGCUGAACAAUUCUUGCUUCAUGAGCCGGGGCAGAAUCUUGUUGAAAGCAGAAUGGAUUAUUGUCAAACAGACUGAAUACAUGAGCAAAGAAGUUUCCAACAAGCACUUCCUCCAAAUAAUAUUUUGAGUUAAUUUUUGAAAACACAAUCUCACAAUUUGCGGGCCCCCGAAGGAGCCAAUCAUUUCUUUCCCUUUUCAUUUGCUUAUGUCGUUCCGUUAGACCAUUAAUUGGUUUUUUUAUAAGCCUUUAUUCUCAAAUUUUUAUUAAUAAUGUUUCGGAUGCUUUUUCGGCUCACUCUGAGGACCUUAGCCAGUUUUCUUCUAGUAAUUACACAAUCUCAAAACCUCAAGGCUCUGGAGGAUCUUAACGAUUUUACUUGUUUUUUUCAGUAAAGACGCAUUUAUGUACGUAUAAUACAAGAUGCCUAAGAUGAUAAAUUAAAAGUCCCUCGUAGAUCUACCGGCGUAGCUCAAAUUUUAAAACUUGCAGCCACCUUAAAGUUUUUUGCACAAGGCAGUUAUCAACAUUUAAUUGGGCAAGAUUUACAUUUAGGACUGGCACAACAAACUAUUUCAAGUUGCAUUAUAGAAGUUUGCAACGCGAAUGAAAAUGUUUUAUGAUCAAAACACAUAUAAUUUCAACUGACAACCGAAGAAAAGGUUGAUGCUAACUGAACUUCUACCAAAUGUGUGGUAUUCCAGAAAUAAUUGGUGCAGUAGAUGGCACACACAUCCAAAUAAUUAGACCGUAAAUGGACGAAUAUUUCUUUUUCAACCGGAAGUUAAAGCAUAGCAUAAACGCUUUGGUGGUUUGCGGUCAUCGAAUAAUAAUUAGGGCUGUUUAUAGGAGAUUUAGAGGUGCAUCCCAUGAUUUACACGUUUGCAAUCUUUCAAAAGAACGGGAAUAUUUAAAAAUGAAUCCUUGGAGACUCUGGAUAUUCCCUUGAGCCAGGGCUAUUAACACCUUAUAGAAAUUCAGCGGACAACUCUGACGACUUAUUUUUCAAACCAAAAAUUUUUGAAAGGAAGAUCGAUAAUAAAACGAGUGUUUGACGUAUUAAAGAAACGGUUUCGAUGUCUGUUAGCUGCAGGAAAGCUAAGUGGUAGAAUAACUAGCUAAAGUGGUAAAAAUAGUGAACGCAUGCUGUGUUCUGCACAACAUUUGUAUUUUAUAUAAUGUGGAGCAACCUUCCGAGAUUGUUAUUGUACCAGCAGAAACUGUAACAGUUGAUACGGACAACUAUGAAAAAAUAUAUCUUGUAAAGACUGCUAAAAGAAUUAUAAAUCAAAUAAAAAAUUAUUUUAUCAGUAUUAGAUAUUCCGUGUAGCGAAAAAUAAUAUAUUUUUAUAAAUUAUUUAUUAAAAUAAAAUAACUUCAGUAAUUUUUAAUUAUAUUUUUAUACAUUAAUCAUAUUUUUAUACAUAAGUACAUAUGUAUCUAAGCACAAAGAAAUUCAGGUAAUACAGUCUUUAAAAAAUAAACGCAUCAUUAAUACUAUUAUUUAUCUUUCACAUAAAACUAAUACUUUCAGUAGGUAAUGAUUAAAAAAAUAGCUAAAAGAAUGUUUCGUACAUACUUUACAUUAUUUUAAAUUUAUAACACAUCCCGAAUUCCAAAUUUAAUGUUUCUUUUAUUUAUUUCUAAUAAACUAACACUUAAUUUAA